rnacentral:lncRNA from 1 species
GCAGGAUCAAUGUCCAGUCUCUCACACAGGAAAACAUCAGAAGCAACAGAAUAUAAAAUACCGAGAGCAAGAAUAUUGUAAAUGCCCCCAAGGAAGCAUCUAGAAAACUGAUGUGUGAUUUCUAGGCAUACUGCACAGUUUUGCUAUUUACUAUGAGCCAGGGAUCAUUUUCCACUUGGAUGAUGCUGAAGAUGGCCUGGAUCCUGCACACCGAGCAGAGGCAGCCACUCCUGGAUUUGUCCCUCGACACCCUAAACCCUCCCAAUAAAUCUCUUUUAUGAGAUUUGCUGCAUGGUGUGAUUAUCUCGUUAGAUGAAGACAAGAAGCAAUGAAGGAGAAAGGAGGACGGGAAGAAGGGGAGAGGAGAAGCCAGGCUGAAGCUCCUGAGCUCCUCAGCUCAGCUAGUGAUCCCCUCCCCUGGCAGCUACACCACCUCUGCUGGCUGAGGAGGCUUCUGCUAAGAGUUACAUGGUUUCUGGACCCCUGUGUCUCAGUGCGCCCUCCUAUUGGGAUACAGUCUGCCCUUAGAGCUGUGUGGUUCCUGGGCUUCUGUGUCCUAAGGCACCUUCCCAUCCAAGCAGAAAGACCAACACUUAGGCUAGUACUCUCUAAAGCUGUAAGUUAAAUAAACAUCUUCC